GCCAAUUUUUUUUCCUUCGAAAUAGACGUCGGGACGCACGAGUAUCACUAUUCGGACGCUGUCAAUCGACGUGGGUUUUCGCGGGCGUUAGGCGCCGACGUUUGGAAUAAUCAUCAGGUGUAGCUGCUUAUUGGGAAUAACCGAAUUAAUUCUAAAAAUAGGAGUGAAUAGAACUCCAAAGUGCAGGCAGAAUUGAAAAGGAUUCAUUCUAAUGAGACUUUUGGACUGAAAUUAAUGACCUAUAUACCGCAGCUCAAGGCAGGAGUCUGUGUUGCAGGCUGUGAAUUCUUUUACUAGAUCCAAUUUCUUCACCAUUCCAUGAAGUGCCAAGUGGUAAUCAU